GGUGUCUAAUUCUUUUCAGACAUCAUCAUGAAAACUUUGUUGGCUAUCAAGACGACAACCUCUUUCAGGAUGAGAUGAGGUAUUUGCGCUCAACUUCAGUACCUGCACCUUAUAUAUCUGUUACUCCUGAUGCCAGUCCUAAUGUCUUUGAGGAGCCAGAAAGUAACAUGAAAUCCAUGCCACCAAGUUUAGAGACUAGUCCCAUCACAGAUACAGAUUUAGCAAAGCGCACAGUUUUUUCAGAGGUCGUAUUCAGUCGUUGCAUCGGAAUAUGAUAAACAACAUUCCAUUUUACCUGCACGAGUAAAGGCUAUCCCCAGAAGGAGAGUCAACAGUGGAGAUGCAGAAGUGGGGUCCUCUCUCCUGAGACAUCCAUCUCCUGAACUUUCUCGGUUAAUCUCCGCCCACAGCUCUCUUUCCAAAGGAGAGAGAAAUUUCCAGUGGCCUGUUCUGGCAUUUGUAAUCCAACAUCAUGACUUGGAGGGACUUGAAAUUGCAAUGAAACAAGCUUUAAGAAAAUCAGCUUGCCGGGUGUUUGCUAUGGAGGCUUUUAACUGGCUUCUCUGCAAUGUCAUUCAAACAACAUCUCUUCAUGAUAUUUAUGGCAUUUUGUGGCUUCUCUGACUCCUGCCCCUGUGGAGCCAGAGGAAGAAGAGGAUGAAGAGAACAAAGCAAACAAAGAAAACGCUGAACAAGAAAAGGAUACAAGAGUCUGUGAGCAUCCGUUGUCCGACAUAGUGAUUGCUGGUGAAGCAGCUCAUCCUUUGCCCCAUACUUUCCACCGUUUGCUACAGACCAUCUCUGACCUCA